UUCUGUGUUCCAUCAUUGGAGUUGCUUCAUAUUGCCAGAGAAGUAUUACACAGGGAAUAAAAAUUAAAUGAUAGUUUACGAAAAUGGAGGUAACUCCACAUUGCUUUUAGAUGGAAGCCAAACUUUCCCACGAAAUCGGAUGAUCGAAUAUACAAAAUGCAAAAAUUCGUCUACAAUUGCAAAACGUCUCAGAGAAAUACUUUCAAACCUGAGAAGUGGAGAAGAAACAGGCCGAAUUUUAUAAAAUCCAAAUAAAAGAAUAUGGAUGACACUAAAGGUGUUCUUGGUAAUACAUCUACUGUAAGAUAGAUGAAGGUAAAAAUUUUAUAUAUUAUGAUUCCACAUUUUUUGUAAAAAAGGUAUAAAAAUUAUUUAAAAAUACAAAUU